UUAAGUAAUUGCGAAUGAACAAGGACAUGCUUAGCUUGACAAUUGGAGCCUCUGGCUUCGACUUGUAUUUUUGAAAUGUAUUACCAACAGAGGUGCAGGUGUCAGCCUAUUGAAAGAAAGCGUCAAUGAGGGUGAGAAUCCUGUUUGUCAUGUGCAAUCCUCUGUGCACGGUGUAUGUUUGCUGAGUCACACUCCUUGGCAUUGGAAUGCAAAGUGGGUGGUAAGUUUCAUGUAAAGGUAAAUAUAGGAUUGAGACUGAUAGCACACAAGUACCAUGAGGGAAAUAUGAAAAGGACUUUGAAAAGAGAAUUAAAUGAGUUUGUAUUUGCUGAACAGAAAAUAAACAGAUUUGAUGUUGCUUGGUGAGAUUGUGGUGCUUGCUUGACAAUAGGUUUUGAUUGUGGGUGUGAUGAUUCUUGCUUUGCUUGCCAGUUUCUAUUUGUACAUUUGAUUACCCUUGCACAUGAAUGGUAAUUUUCCUGCGGGGUUUGGAUUGCAUGUGUUUGUGAUGAUUUGUGUUUUGAUACAUGUGUCUGGUGCUUUUGUAAUUGCUCAUUUCUUGAAGCUGGGCCUACCCUACUAGAGCUUACAAGCCCUGGCACACAAUUGCUGGCAAAAUGCUUCUGCUUGACCCGUCUUGAAACACGGACCAAGGAGUCUAACAGAUGUGCAAGCUUGAGGGUUGCAUACCUUUGUGCGCAAUGAAAGUGUUGGCUGGGAUAUUUGCACCAGCAGCCGACCAAUUAGCAGACAGAGGUUCGAGUUGGAGCAUAUCUAUUAGGACCCGAAAGAUGGUGAACUAUGCCUGAACAGAAUGAAUUCAGAGGAAACUCUGAUGGAGGUUCGUAUCGAUACUGACGUGCAAAUCGUUCGUCAUA
rnacentral:rRNA from 1 species